ACUAAGCCAUGCGUGUCGAAUGUAGCAAUACAUGGCGUACUGCUCAGUAACACGUGGAUAACCUACCCUUGAGACGGGGAUAAACCCGGGAAACUGGGUAUAAUACCCGAUAGAUAUCGACUGCUGGAAUGCAUCGAGCUUGAAAGCUCCGGCGCUCAAGGAUCCCUCUGCGGCCUAUCAGGUAGUAGUGGGGUGUAGCGUACCUACUAGCCUACGACGGGUACGGGUUGUGAGAGCAAGAGCCCGGAGAUGGAUUCUGAGACACGAAUCCAGGCCCUACGGGGUGCAGCAGGCGCGAAAACUUUACAAUGCUGGAAACAGCGAUAACCCCACCUCGAGUGCCAGGUUACAAAUCUGGCUGUCGUGAUGCCUAAAAGCAUUGCAUAGCAAGGGCCGGGCAAGACCGGUGCCAGCCGCCGCGGUAACACCGGCGGCUCGAGUGGUAACCGUUAUUAUUGGGUCUAACCGUUAUUAUUGGGUCUAAAGGGUCUGUAGCCGGCCGGAUAACUGUCUCUUGGGAAAUCUGGCAGCUUAACUGUCAGGCUCUUCACGGAGAUAAUGUCUGGCUCGGGCCGGAGAGUGA
rnacentral:rRNA from 1 species